AGUGAACGCUGGCGGUAGGCCUAACACAUGCAAGUCGAACGGCAGCACAGUAAGAGCUUGCUCUUACGGGUGGCGAGUGGCGGACGGGUGAGGAAUACAUCGGAAUCUACUUUUUCGUGGGGGAUAACGUAGGGAAACUUACGCUAAUACCGCAUACGACCUACGGGUGAAAGCAGGGGAUCUUCGGACCUUUCGCGAUUGAAUGAGCCGAUGUCGGAUUAGCUAGUUGGCGGGGUAAAGGCCCACCAAGGCGACGAUCCGUAGCUGGUCUGAGAGGAUGAUCAGCCACACUGGAACUGAGACACGGUCCAGACUCCUACGGGAGGCAGCAGUGGGGAAUAUUGGACAAUGGGCGCAAGCCUGAUCCAGCCAUGCCGCGUGGGUGAAGAAGGCCUUCGGGUUGUAAAGCCCUUUUGUUGGGAAAGAACAGCAGCAGGUUAAUACCCCGCUGUUCUGACGGUACCCAAAGAAUAAGCACCGGCUAACUUCGUG
rnacentral:rRNA from 1 species